AGUGAACGCUGGCGGCGGGCCUAAUACAUGCAAGUCGAAGGAAGUGGCGCACGGGUGAGUAAUAUAUAGCGAAACUGCCCCUUGCUGGAGGACAACAGUUAGAAAUGACUGCUAAUACUCCAUAGCAAGGGAUGAGACUAUAUCGGAUCAGCUAGUCGGUGGGGUAACGGCCUACCGAGGCUCUGACGAGUAACUCGUCUGAGAGGAUGAUCAGUCGCCUUCUAACUGAGGCACGGUUCAGAAACCUUCCGCAAGGAGCAGUAGUGUAUAGUGCGCAAUCGGCGUGUCUCUGACGCAGCAUCGCGUCGUGGAGGAUGACACUUUUCGGAGCGUAGACUCCUUUUGUUAGCGAAGCGGUACCUAACGAAUAAGCACCGGCUAACUCCGUGCCAGCAGCCGCGGUAAUUC
rnacentral:rRNA from 1 species